AGUGAACGCUGGCGGUAGGCCUAACACAUGCAAGUCGAACGGCAGCACAGUAAGAGCUUGCUCUUACGGGUGGCGAGUGGCGGACGGGUGAGGAAUACAUCGGAAUCUACUUUUUCGUGGGGGAUAACGUAGGGAAACUUACGCUAAUACCGCAUACGACCUACGGGUGAAAGCAGGGGAUCUUCGGACCUUGCGCGAUUGAAUGAGCCGAUGUCGGAUUAGCUAGUUGGCGGGGUAAAGGCCCACCAAGGCGACGAUCCGUAGCUGGUCUGAGAGGAUGAUCAGCCACACUGGAACUGAGACACGCUCCAGACUCCUACGGGAGGCAGCAGUGGGGAAUAUUGGACAAUGGGCGCAAGCCUGAUCCAGCCAUACCGCGUGGGUGAAGAAGGCCUUCGGGUUGUAAAGCCCUUUUGUUGGGAAAGAAAAGCAGCAGGUUAAUACCCCGCUGUUCUGACGGUACCCAAAGAAUAAGCACCGGCUAACUUCGUG
rnacentral:rRNA from 1 species